GAUGAACGCUGGCGGCGUGCUUAACACAUGCAAGUCGAACGAUGAAGCCCAGCUUGCUGGGUGGAUUAGUGGCGAACGGGUGAGUAACACGUGAGUAACCUGCCCUUGACUCUGGGAUAAGCCCGGGAAACUGGGUCUAAUACCGGAUAGGAGCGCCUGUCGCAUGACGGGUGUUGGAAAGAUUUUUCGGUCAUGGAUGGACUCGCGGCCUAUCAGCUUGUUGGUGAGGUAAUGGCUCGCCAAGGCGACGACGGGUAGCCGGCCUGAGAGGGUGACCGGCCACACUGGGACUGAGACACGGCCCAGACUCCUACGGGAGGCAGCAGUGGGGAAUAUUGCACAAUGGGCGGAAGCCUGAUGCAGCGACGCCGCGUGAGGGAUGACGGCCUUCGGGUUGUAAACCUCUUUCAGUAGGGAAGAAGCGAAAGUGACGGUACCUGCAGAAGAAGCACCGGCUAACUACGUG
rnacentral:rRNA from 1 species